UACGGAGGGUGCAAGCGUUAUCCGGAUUCACUGGGUUUAAAGGGUGCGUAGGUGGGCAGGUAAGUCAGUGGUGAAAUCUCCGGGCUUAACUCGGAAACUGCCAUUGAUACUAUCUGUCUUGAAUACCGUGGAGGUUAGCGGAAUAUGUCAUGUAGCGGUGAAAUGCUUAGAUAUGACAUAGAACACCAAUUGCGAAGGCAGCUGGCUACACAAAUAUUGACACUGAUGCACGAAAGCGUGGGGAUCAAACAGGA
rnacentral:rRNA from 1 species